UACUAGACAGUAUAUUGGGUAUUUUUAUAGCGAGUCUGUCUCCCGUGUUUGUUGUUCCUUAUUGGACCUGUAGUCAUUUGACCCUUACAUUUUAAGUUGUUACUCAUUUCAGAUUUAGACAUCUUGCGGUCUUAGGUUGUUUUGUAUGUUGGCUUAAUUGAUAAUGAUCCUUAAACUUUGCAGUUUCAACCUAACAAUGAAAAGUUUCUCAAACCUAUAUGUGUUAAUUACCAAGUAUCCUCUAACUGCAUCUAUGAUCAGAGAGGAACUUAAACACAAAAAUGAUGGCAGUAUGAAUCUCUUAUUAUGAGCUUGGUGCUACAAAGUCGAAGGAGUGUUCAUCUUUUGUUUCAAAAUUAAGGAAAUUGUAAUCAUCAUUUUUUUAAGAAAUGAUUAGUUUGUAUUUUUAAUCUUUUUGUUCCUGUAAAGAUUGUCUUUUUUAAAGAAAUGAUGUAAAUUGAUCUAUGUGAUAUAAUAAAACUUGAUUUA